CAGUAGCCGCGGUAAAACGUAGGUGGCAAGCGUUGUCCGGAAUUAUUGGGCGUAAAGGGCUCGCAGGCGGUUUCUUAAGUCUGAUGUGAAAGCCCCCGGCUCAACCGGGGAGGGUCAUUGGAGACUGGGAAACUUGAGUGCAGAAGAGGAGAGUGGAAUUCCACGUGUAGCGGUGAAAUGCGUAGAGAUGUGGAGGAACACCGGUGGCGAAGGCGACUCUCUGGUCUGUAACUGACGCUGAGGAGCGAAAGCGUGGGGAGCGAACAGGAUUAGAUACCCGCGUAGUCCCUGUCUCUUAUAC
rnacentral:rRNA from 1 species